AUGGUUUAGCCAGGGAUUUAGGCGGGUCGGGUUAGGGUAUUAGGUUUAGAUCUUUUACAUAUGUAAAUGGAAUAACAAAGCUUGGUGGACACCUGUAUAUAUGAAUUUAGGGUUACAGUUAUAGGGUUAGGGGUUAGAAGUUAACAGUUAGGGACUUAGGGUUUAGAUCUUAUUUAGUUUUUUUAAUUUAUAUUUUAAAUAUGUUCUUACAUUUUUG
rnacentral:lncRNA from 1 species